rnacentral:rRNA from 1 species
CAGUAGCCGCGGGAAUACGAAGGGUGCAAGCGUUACUCGGAAUUACUGGGCGUAAAGCGUGCGUAGGUGGUGGUUUAAGUCCGUUGUGAAAGCCCUGGGCUCAACCUGGGAAUUGCAGUGGAUACUGGGUCACUAGAGUGUGGUAGAGGAUAGUGGAAUUUCCGGUGUAGCAGUGAAAUGCGUAGAGAUCGGAAGGAACAUCUGUGGCGAAGGCGACUAUCUGGGCCAACACUGACACUGAGGCACGAAAGCGUGGGGAGCAAACAGGAUUAGAUACCCGCGUAGUCCCUGUCUCUUAUAU